rnacentral:rRNA from 1 species
AUUGAACGCUGGCGGCAUGCUUUACACAUGCAAGUCGAACGGCAGCGCGGGCUUCGGCCUGGCGGCGAGUGGCGAACGGGUGAGUAAUACAUCGGAACGUGCCCAGUAGUGGGGGAUAGCUCGGCGAAAGCCGGAUUAAUACCGCAUACGACCUGAGGGUGAAAGCGGGGGAUCUUCGGACCUCGCGCUAUUGGAGCGGCCGAUGGCAGAUUAGCUAGUUGGCGGGGUAAAGGCCUACCAAGGCGACGAUCUGUAGCUGGUCUGAGAGGACGACCAGCCACACUGGGACUGAGACACGGCCCAGACUCCUACGGGAGGCAGCAGUGGGGAAUUUUGGACAAUGGGCGAAAGCCUGAUCCAGCAAUGCCGCGUGUGUGAUGAAGGCCUUCGGGUUGUAAAGCCCUUUUGGCGGGAACGAAAAGGACUGUGCCAAUACCACGGUUCGAUGACGGUACCCGCAGAAUAAGCACCGGCUAACUACGUG